GGGCCGCUAGCUCAAUGGUAGAGCUGCUGACUUUUAAUCAGUAGGUUCGGGGUUCGAGCCCCCGGCGGCCCACCA
rnacentral:tRNA from 1 species